CACUGCUCGGGGUCUCUGCU
rnacentral:misc_RNA from 1 species